CAGCACGUGUCUUCGGACCUCGAUCUAAUUUAACUUUCUCUGCUUGAUGACCAUGAAACUGAGGUCCAGAGAGGGCAAUAGGAGGAGACAGGCACCAAAAUUCAUUCCCAUGGGCUGAGCACAGGACUGUGUAGUCCUUUCCACACCAGUCUUGAUUAUUCCUCACAAUCCUAUGAGUAAGGGGCCAUCAUUGCCAUUUUUCAGAUUAAAAAAACAGAGAAGUCACUUAACUUCCUGAAGUCACACAGCCCAACAUCAAAGCUGAGCUGUGCUCUCCCAGUGACCUGACUAUAAAGUCACAGUCUCUCCACCCACACACAUUGUAGUUCUUUAGCUCUGUAUGCUCACAGUCUGCUGGAGGGAUAUCACAUGAGUUUGUAACAUACACUCACCAGAGCACUUGCAUCUGGAAACGGUUAACUUUUAAAUUAAAUUGGGAAGGAGUUCUGUUGCUUGCCUGCUCAUAUGCUUUCUUGGAUAGAAACAAAAGGAAGGACAGAAGUGGGUGAGAAGCAGAGUCCUGGAAGGAUGCAGGUGUGUGGUGUCAUAAAGACUGUUCUGGAACAUGGUGUUAAUGCAUGCAGAUUGAGUGGGAGUUAUUGUCAUAUUUUACUUUCCUGUACAUUAAAAAAAACACACAUGCCUGUUUUCCAAUGGGAAAGUCAUCUGUCAUUUGGUUGUGGCAGAAUACAGUUCCCAUGGUACUGAGAGGAAAGCCAUUCAUUCUCAAGCUUUAAGAAAGAGGCUUUAAGCCAGGUGUCAUGGAGCGAGCAAAGAUGGACCCCAGACAGUCUCUGCCCCGAGGUAUCCUUUGUCUCUGAGAAAGUAUGGACAGUGAUACUGAAACAGAGCAAUUUCAAGGCCUGGUGAGUGGGAGGCUCAGGUGAGAGGAGGGGAAGUCGAGGUCAAAUCCUCACUGUUGGUUCCUAUGAUGAGACUCAGAGCAGGGCUCGCACAGGCUAAGUGCUCAAAUAAUGCAGCUGUUAGACCUCACCCCUAGGACCCAGCAUCCAACAUUCCUGGAAAUAAUUACAGAGUGAUAGGGGAUGUCAUGGAGCCAGGGGGCCCUGGGUGGGAAUCCUGACUCCACCAGUCACUGUCUGGGUGUCCUCAGGCCAGUUCCUUAAUUUCUCUGAACCCCUAUUUCCUAUAAGACCAUUUGAAAAAUUAGAAAUAAGAUGUAAUACUGUAGACAUGUGGCUGCCUAGCAGGUUAACGUAUGUUAGUUUUCUCCCCUUAGUAAGUCAGGGGCGAGGGUGAUGUUAGUUCCUUCGACUUGGCCCCUGUCUGCCCAGCUUCCCAGGCAGCACUCAUUCCUUCCAACCUAUUUCACCAGACAGUGUUGGGAAGGAGGAAGGAACAGGGCAACUAGAAGUUCAUUCCCAGUCUUCACGCACUAACUUGUGAAUAGCUACUUAACAUCCCAUUCCUCAGUUUCCUCAUCUUUAAAAUGGGGAUAUGAUAUCUGUCUCACGGAGAGCUGUUGUAAAGAUUAAAUGAGAGACUGCCUGUUGCAAAAAAACAAGCCACUGUGUUGCUAUUGUUCAGUUGCUCAGUCUUGUCUGACUUUGCAACCCUAUGGACUGCACUAUGCCAGGCGUCCCUGUGCAUCACCAACUCCUGGGGCUUGCUCAAACUCAUGCCCAUUGAGUAGGUGAUACCAUCCAACCAUCUCAUCCUCUACUGUCCCUUUCUCCUUCCACCUUCAAUCUUUCCCAGAAUCAGGGUCUUUAACAAGGAGUCAGUUCUUUGCAUCAGGUGGCCAAAGGAUUGGAGUUUCAGCUNNNNNNNNNNNNNNNNNNNNNNNNNNNNNNNNNNNNNNNNNNNNNNNNNNNNNNNNNNNNNNNNNNNNNNNNNNNNNNNNNNNNNNNNNNNNNNNNNNNAGUCAGUGAUGCCAUCCAACCAUCUCAUCCUCUCGUCCCCUUCUCCUCCCGCCUGCAGUCUUUCCCAGCAUCAGGGCCUUUCCCAAUGAGUCAGUUCUUCGCAUCAGGUGGCCAAUGCAUUGCGGCUACAGUUCAGCAUCAGCCCUUCCAAUGAACAGUCAGGGUUGAUUUCCUUUAGGAUUGACUGGUUAUAUUUCCUUGCUAUCCAAGGGAUUCUCAAAAGUCUUCUCCAGAACUACAGUUCUAAAACAUCAAUUCUUUGGCACUCAGCUUUCUUUACGGACCAACUAUCAUAUCUGUCCAUGACUGCUGGAAAAAUCAUAGCUUUGACUAGAUGGAUCUUUGUCAGCAAAGUGAAGUCUCUGCUUUAUAAUAUGCUGUCUAGAUUUGUCCUAGGACUGGGGUCAUUAAUGCAGUUUAUAGGGGAGGGGUGAGAAACCUCUAGAGAAGAUUAGGUAUUAAUGAAUGAAUGAAUUUUAGUUUAAUUAGAAUUUUCCAGGUGAAGAAUGGGCUAAGACAUUCUAGGUGUAUCAGAAUACAUAUCAGAAUAAAAGGAUUCCUCUUUGAAGAUUUUUAAGCCAUAGAAGUCCAUUAAUUGGGGAGCUCUUUCAAGAGAGUACGGAAUAGCAACUUAACUGGGAUAUUUUGAUAGAAUAAGUUUUGUUUUGCUUUGUUUUUGUUUUAUGGUUAGAUUAUGUUUUGGGAGUAGAAUAAAAAAGAAUCAGAAGAGCAUGUACUAUAAAUAGUUUGUUUAAUGCCACUGGGAAAAGUAAUUCAGAAAGGAUUAUAGAGUUUGCCAAAAAGAUAUCAGAGUUUGCUUUAAAAGGUCCAAAACUUUUACACUGAAAGAAUUGGUGGGCUUUGGUUGCUAUUUUAAUUAAUAUUUGAGUUUGCCUUUCAUCUAGAACUUUCACAGUAGCAUUAAUUAUUGGGGAUCAGCAUGGU
ensembl:lncRNA